rnacentral:rRNA from 1 species
GGCUCAGAACGGACGCUGGCGGCGUGCUUAACACAUGCAAGUCGAACGCGAAAGGGACUUCGGUCCUGAGUAAAGUGGCGCACGGGUGAGUAACGCGUAGAUAACCUGUCUUCAUGUCUGGAAUAAUACGCCGAAAGGGGUACUAAUACCGGAUAUUCUUGCUUUUCAUAAGUUAUGCAAGCAAAGGUGGCCUCUGCAUAUGCUACUGCAUGAAGAGGGGUCUGCGUACCAUUAGCUAGUAGGUGGGGUAAUGGCCUACCUAGGCGACGAUGGUUAGCGGGUCUGAGAGGAUGAUCCGCCACACUGGCACUGGAACACGGGCCAGACUCCUACGGGAGGCAGCAGUGAGGAAUAUUGCGCAAUGGGGGAAACCCUGACGCAGCGACGCCGCGUGAGUGAGGAAGGCCUUCGGGUCGUAAAGCUCUGUCAAGAGGAAAGAAGUGUACAAUGGCUAAUACCUGUUGUAUUUGACGGUACCUCUAAAGGAAGCACCGGCUAACUCCGUGCCAGCCGCCGC